UACGUAGGAGGCGAGCGUUGUCCGGAGUUACUGGGCGUAAAGCGCACGCAGGCGGUCAGAUCAGUCUGGAGUGACAGUCGUCGGCUUAACCGACGAAGUGUUCUGGAAACUGUCUGACUUGAGGGCUUCAGAGGGACACGGAAUUCCGGGUGGAGUGGUGAAAUGCGUAGAUAUCGCCUGGAACGCCGAAGGUGAAAACAGUCUGGCUGGGGGCGUGCCGACGCUGAGACACGAAAGCCAGGGAGCGAACGGG
rnacentral:rRNA from 1 species